AACGUACGCUGGCGGCACGCCUAACACAUGCAAGUCGAACGAAGUAGCAAUACUUAGUGGCAGACGGGUGAGUAACAUGUGGGUAUCUGCCCUUUGGCCUGGAAUAACACGAGGAAACUUGUGCUAAUACCGGAUAAGUCUUUACGGAGAAAGCUUUAUGCACCAUUGGAUGAGCCUGCACUUGAUUAGUUUGUUGGUGGGGUAAUGGCCUACCAAGACUGUGAUCAAUAGCUGAUUUGAGAGGAUGAUCAGCCACAUUGGGACUGAGACACGGCCCAAACUCCUACGGGAGGCAGCAGUGGGGAAUCUUGCACAAUGGAGGAAACUCUGAUGCAGCGAUGCCGCGUGAGUGAAGAAGGCCCUUGGGUUGUAAAGCUCUUUCGUCGGGGAAGAAAAUGACUGUACCCGAAUAAGAAGGUCCGGCUAACUUCGUGCCAGCAGCCGCGGUAAUACGAAGGGACCUAGCGUAGUUCGGAAUUACUGGGCUUAAAGAGUUCGUAGGUGGUUGAAAAAGUUAGUGGUGAAAUCCCAGAGCUUAACUCCGGAACUGCCAUUAAAACUUUUCAGCUAGAGUAUGAUAGAGGAAAGCAGAAUUUCUAGUGUAGAGGUGAAAUUCGUAGAUAUUAGAAAGAAUACCAAUUGCGAAGGCAGCUCUCUGGAUCAUUACUGA
rnacentral:rRNA from 1 species